CAGACAGCAAGCCAACAUUGAAUAAACAUUGUUUUUCCAUCUGAAUCAUCAUUAUGGUUGAUAUUGAAAUUUCAAUGCAAAAUAAAUGUUGAAUCAACAUUAUCAUAUCGAUGAAAACCUGAUGUUAUUAAUGUUGAUGGCAACAAUAUUGGAACAACAUUGAUCCAUAGUUAUCUUUAUGAUUGAUUAAGCAUUGAUAUUUGGUUACCGGGUGAUCCCUGAAUGUGUUGAAAAGUAAUUGAUUUAUAGUGGACAGAGAAAUGAUGCUGUUGUUGAAAAGUCAUCGAAAUAUAGUUGACCGGGAAAUAUGAUAGAAAAUGCAUCGAAAUAUAGUUGACCAGGAAAUAUGAUUGAAAAUGCAUCGAAAUAUAGUUGACCGGGAAAUAUGAUUGAAAAUCCAUCGAUUUUUGGUUGACCGGGAGAUCAACGGGUGGUAUACCCAACGUACUGCACCGGACACAGCUCAUUUCUGGACCCUUGGCACAAGCGUACAGGUAAGCUUGCUUAAUGUUCGAUAUGAAUCCAGACAGCACAGGCACGCGGUGUGUUUUUAUACAGUCUGUGGGCAGCUGAAGAGACUGGCUCAUUUUCAAAUAAUGUUACCGUUAACUUGUUUAGACAACGGUCACGGUAAAUUAAUGUUAAAGCCUUGAGUUUCCAGCAGUUUCUCGGAGGGAAAAUGUAAAAGCGGUUUAUUAAAGAGAAGUCCUGACUGCUUUUUCGUCGUGUUUUUCACUCUUUUACAGACUGCCAGAAAGAAUCCGUCUCUAUAGUGAGUGAUUAUUGAAUGAGGCUGUACAUUAUAAAUUUAAUGUUUUAACUCGAGAUGUUUGUUUGUGUGAAUGCUGUGUGUGCGGUGAGUUCUGCGCGAGCGGGGAGCAGAGUUGCCAUGGAAACGGGGCGUCAACACAAAAACCGUUACUGGCAAGCAGUAAUCUCCGUCUCUUGCUGCGGUUUACGCUGUUUUAGGUAAGUUUAGUCGCUAAAAUCACACAAAUAUGAUAUACAAAUGUUUCUGACAAGUUUCUUACUUGUUAUUGACAUGUUUCAAUUAAAUUUAUUUUAUAGAAAUGGUUUAAUGUCUUCGGAAAAAGUCCGUUAGCGUCUUAGCAGUUUUCAGGUAACGUUAGGCUAAUUUUGAGCUCUUGUUGAUGAAACUCUGGGCUUUUCAUCAAAUCUUCGUGUGUGUAUGAGAUAUUUUGAUGGCUCUGUGAAUGUUUUGCUGGUGAUUUGUCAGUGUUUUUUUUUGGAAAAGGCUGAUUUACUGAAUCGAUGACGUCACUUACACUGAGAGUGUAACGUUAAUCGGCUGAAAACAAGUUCACAUGAGUUUUGAUAUUUCAUGAUAAACAGAUAUUAAUACAAAUUGUUCUGUGAUUUCAGGAGGACAGAAAUAAACUAUACAGAACAAAGUGAAACUCCAAGAUUUUUGAAAAGAAAAUUGGUGAAAUAUAUUCUGAAAAAGGCAUAUUAAUGUAUUUCAUGAGCUUCUUCAGUAAAUCUGUAUUUCUAAGUCAGUAUCUCCCUUCAGAAAUGUUGCUGAAGGGAGAUACUGACUUAGAAAUACAGGUGAACUCAUGAAAAUAAGCUUAUGAAAUACUCAUGAAAGAAGCUCAUGAAAUACAUUAAUAUGCCUUUUUCAGAAUAUAUUUCACCAAUUUUAAGGAGUCCCUGACAUCAAAACAUUGCUUGUUUUGUUCCUGGACUCUUCAGUGAUGAUGAGCAGAGUCUGAGUGAACCUGCUGUCAGACAAUCACUAUUGCACACCAAAUGCUCUUACUCAGCAGAUGGGGACAGCUACCAUCACCCAAUUUUCACCCAAAAGUGGCUGCGCUAUUCGCCAGACCGGGCAGGAGGGACUGGACGACAACUUAUGCAGGCAUCAGAUGACAAUGAAGUGUAAAUAAAGAGUAGAGCAGGGUGUCCGCGGGGUUUUAAAAAGUAUUAAAAAGUGAUAAAUCAAAAUGGUCAAAUUUAAGGCCAUUAAAAGUGUUAAAUGUGGUCUCAGAGGUAUUAUUUUUUUCCAAAUUAGGUAUUAUUUUUUCCAGACUAUCAGGUGUCUUAUUCUGAUUGAAAUUCUAUCUGCGUUCGUGUUAGUUCGUUUAUAUGGGCUUUAGCAUAUCUGGGCACAUAAUCAAAGAUCUUCCGUCUCCGUCUCAUGCUGACGUCAUAUUCAGUGGUCGUUCGGCAUCAUCUCAGAACACUGCGCGCUCAACAGAAGUGGCUGGCUUACGUUUUAUUUUAGACUUGCUUCAAGGCAUAUCUUCAAUGACUGGACAACCAUCGUCGUCUUCUUGGACAAAUGCAAGUUUUCUAAUAGCUGGGUUAACGACCGGUAGUACCGAGGUCCCGUUCAAACCCGGUUCUUGACGCAUACAACGCUAUGAUUUCCGCGAAGCAGAAAACGAGUACGGAAUCUCAAAAUCCAGUCAUGUAAAUUAAACUUACAUUUUAAUAUGGACAGUCAUGGAAUUUGUGAAAGCAUAAAUUAAUCAAAUCAAAUCUCCAUAUGGACCAGUAUCUGUAGUAUUAAGCCGCAAAAGUUGUUUGAAAUAUGAAUCUGUGUUAUGCGCGUCUCUGUGUGAAUUAAUGAAUGACAGAGACGUGCAGGUUUAUUUACUACAUAGACUGAAGCGCAUGACGCUUGCAUUAAUUUCAGCAUCUGUUGUCUUCUCCUGUCAAAAUAAUCGAGUUAAUUUAGAAUUAUUCAUAUUCACUUUCGAAAAAGCAGAAGACAUACCGGUUUCUCCGGUAGUGGGCGGAGCUAAUGGGCAAAUAGAAAUUUCAAAAUGACAAAUAUGCAUUCAUUAGGCCUAAAAGAAAAUUUUUACAUAAGGGCAUUGUGUUAGAAAUAUUACUAUUAUUUAGUAAAACGUAUGUGAUACUGCUACCACUGUUGCAAAAAAAUAAAAAACUUUAUUUAAAAAAAAAAUAAAUCUCAAUAUUUCUCCCAUGUUUUAAUUUUAAUAGCAAAUCCCCUUUAUUUACCAAACAUAAAAUGUGUUUAAAUUUGAUAAAUUAAAAGACAAAUUAAAUUUGGGUGAAACUUGUUUACUGUUUUUCAUAAUUAUAUAACUUGUAGAAAAACUUUAAACACAAUUCUAAAUAAGUAUAAAGAAUG